rnacentral:rRNA from 1 species
ACAAUCGUUACAACUUUCAACAAUGGAUCUCUUGGCUCUGGCAUCGAUGAAGAACGCAGCGAAAUGCGAUAAGUAGUGUGAAUUGCAGAAUUCAGUGAAUCAUCGAAUCUUUGAACGCACAUUGCGCCCCUUGGUAUUCCAUGGGGCAUGCCUGUUCG